UACGUAGGGUGCGAGCGUUGUCCGGAAUUAUUGGGCGUAAAGGGCUCGUAGGCGGUUUGUCGCGUCGGGAGUGAAAACCUUGGGCUUAACUCAGGGCUUGCUUUCGAUACGGGCAGACUAGAGGUAUGCAGGGGAGAACGGAAUUCCUGGUGUAGCGGUGAAAAUGCGCAGAUAUCAGGAGGAACACCGGUGGCGAAGGCGGUUCUCUGGGGCAUGAUCUGACGCUGAGGAGCGAAAAGUGUGGGGGAGCGAACAGG
rnacentral:rRNA from 1 species